AGGACCAGAUCUCACCCAAGCRGAGGUGCAGGAGGAAACCGUGUGCGCGGAGCCCCAGAAAAAAAGAUGAAUUCUGAGACCUCAGCACUUACCAUGAGUAACCCUGUCAUAAUAAAUCAAUGUGCCAGGGGAAUAGUGGAAGAAGAAAAAGUUUGGCCAAAGGAACAGCAGCAGAACAACUUUUCCCUGUUUCCUUCUACUAAGGGCUGGAAUUUCAGAGGGAAAAAGCGGAAACAGAGUACUCAGGAUGAAGAUACAAUCAGUAUCU